rnacentral:rRNA from 1 species
ACGGCUGCUCAGUAACACGUAGUCAACUUACCCUAUGGACGAGGAUAAUCUCGGGAAACUGAGCAUAAUACUCGAUAGAUCAUAAUGCCUGGAAUGGUUUAUGGUUGAAAUGAUUCGUCGCCAUAGGAUGGGACUGCGGCCUAUCAGCUUGUUGGUGAGGUAAUGGCACACCAAGGCGAUUACAGGUACGGGCUCUGAGAGGAGAAGCCCGGAGAUGGGUACUGAGACAAGGACCCAGGCCCUAUGGGGCGCAGCAGGCGAGAAAACUUUGCAAUGUGCGAAAGCACGACAAGGUUAAUCCGAGUGAUUUCUGCUAAAGAAAUCUUUUGCAAGUCAUAAAACCACUAGUGAAUAAGGGGUGGGCAAGUUCUGGUGUCAGCCGCCGCGGUAAAACCAGCACCUCAAGUGGUCAGGAGGAUUAUUGGGCCUAAAGCAUCCGUAGCCGGCUCUGUAAGUUUUCGGUUAAAUCCAUGUGCUCAACGCAUGGGCUGCCGAAAAUACUGCAUAGCUAGGGAGUGGGAGAGGUAGACGGUACUCGGUAGGAAGGGGUAAAAUCCUUUGAUCUAUCGAUGACCACCUGUGGCGAAGGCGGUCUACCAGAACACGUUUGACGGUGAGGGAUGAAAGCUGGGGGAGCAAACCGGAUUAGAUACCCGGGUAGUCCCAGCUGUAAACGAUGCAGACUCGAUGAUGCAUUGGCAUAUAGCCAGUGCAGUGUCGCAGGGAAGCCGUUAAGUCUGCCGCCUGGGAAGUACGUACGCAAGUAUGAAACUUAAAGGAAUUGGCGGGGGAGCAGA